rnacentral:tRNA from 1 species
GCCACUUUAGCUCAGGAGGCAGAGCACCGCCGUGGUAAGGAGGAGGUCCUCAGUUCAAAUCUGGGAAGUGGCU